AGAGAUGUGUGAUGACGCAUAUCAAUAAGCGGAGGAAAAGAAACUAACAAGGAUUCCCUUAGUAACGGCGAGUGAAGCGGGAAGAGCUCAAAUUUGAAAUCUUCAAGGUUCUACCUUGACGAAUUGUAGUUUAUAGAAGUGUUUUCUGUUAGUAGGAGUGGCAAAAGUUCUUUGGAAUAGGACAUCAUAGAGGGUGAGAAUCCCGUAUUUGGUCAUUCCUUCUAGCGUUGUGAUACACUUUCAACGAGUCGGAUUGUUUGGGAAUGCAGUCCAAAAUGGGUGGUAAAUUUCAUCUAAAGCUAAAUAUUGGCGAGAGACCGAUAGCGAACAAGUACCGUGAGGGAAAGAUGAAAAGAACUUUGAAAAGAGAGUUAAACAGUACGUGAAAUUGUCAAAAGGGAAGCGUUUGACACCAGUGUUGUUUUUCCGAAAAUCAAUUACGAAUGUUUUGUUUUUGAGGAGUUAUGACUUCAUCGGCUUGCUUCUCUCUUUACGAAACUUUCUUAAUGCACUUUUCGGUUAACAAGUCAACAUCAAUUUCUUUUGUUGUAAAAGGGUAUGAGGAAGGUGGCUUUCUUUUCGGAGAAAGUGUUUAUAGCCUUGUAGCCUCUGCAAUCGGAGAGAUUGAGGUCUGCAGCGUAGAUCCUUCGGGGUUAGAUACAUUUGUGCUAAGUUAUAGCUUUUCAUAGACAACUUGUUGACUAUGUUUAGUCUUGUAGCUUACUCGCUUAUGCUAUUUUACCUACGCUUAGGAUGUUGGACGAUCAGCUGAGCGCG
rnacentral:rRNA from 1 species